GGAGAAGAAGCGGUGGAUCAUUUCAGAUGGAACUAAGGCUUUAUAUUUCUUUUUCUCUUCGCAGAAAGAUGCAGAGAGGAAGGAAGCAAGGAGCUUCAUCUCAUUGUCCAAAUCAAAUACCAUUUUCCUCAUAAAUUUUGAUUUGGAAGUCCGGAUUUGAUUCCGUUUUCGCUUACGAAUUUAUGGGGAAGAGUACUACAAAUCUCAGGAACUCCAGUUACCGCGACGGUUGUGUGUAAUCGAGGUGUUGGUAAGGGACACUACUUGUUUGCUUUGGACUCCAGGUAGGGGAAAUACGGCAGACCUUUACGGAGAUUGACUUUAUUAAAUUUUGUGAAACAUUAUAUUAUUAUUAUCGAUCUUCUUGGUUGAUUAAUGUGAUCUGGCUUGCUAAUUGGAUAAAUAAUGCCCCUGCGUGUUUACUUGUUAUUGGUUAUGGAAUUAUUGAUGAAAUGCUAUUGGUUGAGAAUAUACUGUGGUAUAUGUGAAUCAUUCAUAAUUGGUCGUGUGGUAGGAGUUUUGGUGUUGAGGAAGUAAUUCUGGAAAUGAGGGUAGUUGGAAAUAAUCUUUUGUGUAGUUGAGCCAAACUCUUAGCAGGUACCAGAUCUCAGGUGAGCCCACAGUGCACAGAUUCUUUAAGGGUAAUUCGGGACUGGCGACAAAGGGUUUUGGCAAGAUGACUAACAAAAGGGGAAAUUGGGAUGAUUGAGUUACAUGGGGUUAAUUUGUAUAUUAAAAUAUUCGAACCACCACUGCAGAGGUAAAAUGCACGGUAUGGGACGUGCAGGUCCGCGUGUUUUAUUAUAUGAAUUAACGGGUAGAGAUGAAGAGUAUUGUAUUGCACUCAUGCAUUGUUGAUGAUAAUGAUUUGGUACUUGAUUACAUGAUUUUAUUACACUUAAUUUAAUAUUGUCAAUUUACUGUGAUAAGGUUAUGUCCCUACUGAGUUGUUGAAGCUCACCCCUCUAUUGUUAUGCAGGUUUACUAACUAAACUGUCAAAAGAGUAAACGUGAUGAGAUCAAAUUAGAUGUGAGGCUAGAAUUGUAUUUAUUUAUUUUUAGCUUUGUAAAGAUUAUGGAUUUCUUUUUUAUAAGAGGAGUUUAUCUUUUCAACCCGUGUCAUUUCUUUUAUUUAUUUAGCUUUUAACUCGCGUUUCGGACUCGGGAUCGAGUUUUUACUACCGACCCCAGGUCCGGGGCGUGGCAGUACUCUAAAGUUUUGUAAUUAUAUCACUUUACACAUUUUGCUUAUACAGCUAAUUCUCCAUUAAA